UUGUUUAUUUUACAUAGACAUAAAAAUCCUGGAAACAUUUUUCAUGAGGUAAAUAAAUUUGCUUCUGUUGAAAUGGCCUUGACAAUGCUGAACUACUUUACUUGUAUAUUCAUUUCUCUGUAUUUCUGCACUUUUAAAGAGUAUAUUUCUCAAGUGGAAUUAAGAAGGCUGAAUUAAGGAGAAAUCAAUAUUUAUAGAUUCUUUGGUUCUGUUUAAAACCUGCAAUCUACUUUAUUAAUGCAGAUUUAAAAGGAAGGACAUUUCUGAAAAGAAUUUUCCUUACACAUUCUUUUAUUUCUUGCUUUCCUAAUCAUGAAGGACUAUUACUAAGUUUGGCAGUUACAUCUCCAGGGAUUUAUUUUAAAUUAUUUUCAGUGAUUUGGACAGUUGCCAUUUUAUCAUAGAGAUGAAAAGGUAGGAGAUGAGAUUCAGCUGAGGAUGGAAGUUUCUCCCUGUGCCAAGCAAAGGGCUAUUUUAAAGUGAUUUAUGUGGCAGUUUUCUUCUGUGUCACCAUUAUGUCCCUGCUGCCUGAGUGUGACAACGUGGGGCUUGCUAACAUUUUGGUAAUAAUUUAUUGGGAUGAGAUUUUUUUUUUUGGCCUGGAGUUCAGCCUGCAAUCCUUUUAACACUUUGCUAAAAGGCGUAAGUUCUCUACAGGCUUAUUUAUUUUUCACUUUGGAACUGUGCACUCACACAAAAACCUGCCUACAUAAAUCUGCAACUUUUCUUUUUGAAUUGGAAGUUGAAUGCCGACCAUGACUUGCGCAUAUAAAAAAAUGCAGAAAUAAUGCCCCCCUACUGUGAGACAGAAACAAUCUGCAUCUUUUAACAUGCUUGGAUCAUCUAAAUGAAUGAGGAAAUACACAAAACUUCUGAAUUCUGCAACUGUAUAUUCUGGUUGCCAAGAAGAAAAUAAUAUAAUAUGAGGAUUCUAAAUUUAUUUUGGACUUUGAACUUUCUCAGUGAGCACUGAUUAUUCUGGAACAGGAUAGGUCAAACUGGCCACAAGACAAAAGGCAUCUUUGAAUUAUUCCAAAACUGCUGACCUGAAAAAUUGUUAAAGAUAAAGAAAAGAAGAUAAUCUUCAUAUAUGCCCAAAUCAGAUGAUUAUAACAUUUCAAUUGUUCCAUUGAAUUGUUCUCAAACAUUUUCCAAAGUGAAUUGUUGAUGUUAAGCUUUAUCAAAUAGGCUCCUUCCACCAAGAAUGAAAAAUGCCUGUGGCUACCGAUGUCUUCUUUGCCAUGCCUCCACCUCCACCACAGAGUUGGCUUUCCAAAUUAGGUUUCAUGGCUGCUAAUUGGAGGAAUUUUCCACAGCCCAACUUCUGGCUCCUGUUUCUUUACCACAGCCCACAGACUUCCUGCCCUAGGCACCACAGAAGAUUUGGCAACAACUAACCUUUACAAUGCUGCCUCAAUCAUCAGAGAUGGAGAUUAUAAUGCAAUAUCAGCAAGUUUCACUAGCCUACAUAUUAGGUGUAUGGUCUCUGCUGUGGCUGGGAAAGCAGUGGAAGAUGGCCUAAGUCCUUGGACUCCUGCACCCACAUGGGAGACUGAGAAGAAGCUCCUGGCUCCUGGCUUCAGAUUGACACAGCCCUGGCUGUUGUGGCCAUUUGGGGAGUGAACCAGUGGAAGGAGCAUCUUUCUCUCUCUCUCUCUCUCUCUCUCUCUCUCCUUCUCAUUGUCUGUAA